rnacentral:lncRNA from 1 species
GGGGGAGGCACCCCUCCGUCUCCCACUUCCACCCACACCCCCAUCCCUCCACCCCCUCCGCUUUGCAGGAAAAAGCCUGGAUGCGAAAGGAUGGGGGAGAACAAAGAGCCUUUGGAAGACGUCGCUGUUAUCUCAUUGUCUGUGUGAUUGGGGGAGCUGCGGCGGGGAGGAUGCUGUGGUCCCUUCCUCCGGCGUUCCCCACCCCCAUCCCUCUCCCCGCUGUCAGUGCGCACGCACACGCGCCGCUUUUUAUUUCUUUUUCCUGGUUUUCUUAUUCCAUCUUCUACCCACCCCUCUUCCUUUCUUUCACCUUUCCUUCCUUCCUUCCUCCUUUCCUUCCUCAGGAGAAAGGCCUCUCUCUCCGUGUUCACAGCGGACCUUGAUUUAAAUGUCCAUACAAUUAAGGCACGCGGUGAAUGCCAAGAAUGGGGCUGGCUGAGCACCGUGGGUCGGCGAGGGCCCGCCAAGGAAGGAGCGACCGACCGAGCCAGGCGCCCUCCGCAGACCUCCGCGCAGCGGCCGCGGGCGCGAGGGGAGGGGUCUGGAGCUCCCUCCGGCUGCCUGUCCCGCACCGGAGCCCGUGGGGUGGGGAGGUGUGCAGCCUGUGACAGACAGGGGCUUAGAGAUGCAAACAGACUCAGGGAGAGAAACAGAAGCUGAUUCUGUGACAGAAGCAGAUCUGUGCAGCACAGAUGCGGUGUGCGUGGGGAGGGGGUCGCCUGGGAGCGCAUUGCGGAGUGCUUGUGUGUGCAGAUUUUUCUCUGGGCUCAGGACUCAUUGUAUGUGGGUCAACACCUUCCUCCGUGACUGUGUUUUUGUUCUGAGCUGAGUUUUUUGGUUUGCCCUUAAAAAAAUAAUAAUUUGGCAUCCAGAGACUGGCAGACUGCCUCAGGGCCUGGACUGCGGAUAUAUUGUGUUCUGCUUGAGGUUUGGGGAGGAGGGCAGGCGGUAGGAAGGGAGAGGGGGAGCUGUUUGUCACACUUUGCUGUAGAGCUGAGAGCACCUGACAAGCUUAAGGAAGUCGUUGGGCUAUGUGGACAAGAAGGAGCCAGCUCCCAGCGGGUUCACAAGCUCUAUCGGAGUUGAAAGCGUGGUCAUGGCUCUAAGGAGCACCUCACGCCCUCCCUGUAGCUGUUAUUGCAGUUUCAGGCAGAGAUCCAGGAGCUGCAGAGGAAGGGAGAGGCACAAUAACCUACAUGGACCCAAGGGAGACAUGUGUUCCUUUAAAAAUGUGAACAGAAGGAAAAACAGAAUGUGUGCAACUGGGGGUCUGAGGAAAGACUGUUUUGAAAGAGGCUGUCAGGGAAUGGAAAGGGUUAAGCUUUUCAUCCUGAAGAACCUGCUUCCCAAAUCAGGCCUUCCUCCCAUCACUAGACCCUGAGCAGCAGCUGGUCCUAGAGACCCCCCUCGUACUGCGCUGCCACAGUCUCAUCCCAUUUCCAGCUCUGUAUUAACCACCAAGCUGCAGCGGAUGGGGCAAGACCUAAGCUCAUUAAUUUCCAGGUGGAGGAAAUGGAGGAGGGGCAGGUCCCUGCAGUAGAGGGAGGAGCAGAGAAAGGAGGCCAAGAGCUGGAUCCUUCUGCCCAGGAAGCCUGCUGCAUCCCUUCCCCCGAGCAUGGCAGAGGCCUGGCUUUGCAAGGCCAAGGCCAUAAGGGAUGCUUAGGAGAUUAAUUUGAUUCCUGACACAAUAAUCAAGCCCUAAGAGUCUCCACUGAAGCUUACUGAGGACUUCUUUCCUCUCCAAAGCCUCAGUCUAGCCUGCUAAAUAAAUUAGUAUUCAGUGAUGCCUUGGAUCAGGGCCCCUCCCCGGCCUCAGUUUCCCCAAAUAUUUAUUAAGUACCUACUGUGUGCAAUCCUUGUGUAAUUAUUAACUCUUAGGCUCUUCAUUUGCCCUCCUAAAGCAGUGUUUAGAGUCAGGCAGAGGUUAAGUGUGUUGCACCUCACCUAGAUACUUCCAGAACCUUCUCUGGGUCUGCAGAAUGUGGCACAACCUGCUUGCCCCCGCAGAGAGAAAGCUGCAGUGCACAUCCUGCAGACUGCAGGUGCUGGGCUGCCUCUGGAGUCCCAGAAGGCAAGCUUGGCUGCAGGACAGAAAGGGAGAACAGCUUCUCUCACCCCUGAGCCUUCACAAGCCCUUGUCUAUUUGCCGUUGCCUUCAAAAUAUACCUCCCCCGAAACCAGUAGCUUUCUGAGUCCUGGUGUCCCCUCCGCCCUUUCUGGACAGGUUUGGGAAGAAGAAAGCAGUCAGUGCUGGGCCUUAUUGGGGUGUGAAGCGCCUUGCUCUGCCCCUUCUGCUCACUGUGAAGGCCGCUGGAUGCUUCUCUUAGGCAUGGUUUAAGCCUCCGAUUACUAAACCCCUUGCCCCACAAACGUCCACAUUGACGAGCCUCUUUUUAGUAACUGCUUCCCCGUAAUUCCUUCAGAGGUUGCUGUACCCUUCGCUGAUGUGCUGCCCUCCUGUAAAACCUCCAGAUGCCUUCCCACGUAAUGCCCCUUUCAGAUGCUUUAAGCUGAGAGCUUAAACCACAGGUACCAUGGCUGACGCCUGCCAGGUUUCUGCUGCAGAUAAUCUAUGAUGGGAGGGGCAUAUUUUUUACUUCAUUACUUAUGUAAACUCUUGUUCCAGAAAGCUUUAAUGUGUGUGGGAGUGUUCUGGGUCUAUUAGGUCUGUGCGCAUGGGUGUGGGCAUUUGCCUGUGUCCACCGGGUGGGUCUCAUUAUGAAAUGUAUGUUUAUGUAGGGCUUUAAUGGCUGAAAAUGGCAAAGAGAUGAAUAGACCACUUGGCCCCAUGUGUAAUUGCCAGGCCCCUUCUGUGCUCAAAUGAGGUGUCCGAGUGAAGGUCAGCCCUUCCCUUCUGUAUUUGGGGCCUAUUUAUGCCACCAGUAAUUUUAUAAGAAAUCUGAAUAGUUCUCCCCUUUGAGUGCAUUUAACUCUUUAGUAUCUUCUCUCUUACCUAUUUGAGCCCCUCUAGCUACAGUCUGGCUUAAAUGAAAGGGGAAUUAUAUGCUUAAGAAAAAGUAGGACACGGUUGAGGCAGUUUGCUGACUGAAUACGCGAAGAAGGACCUGAUGGGCUCAUAUGCACCACUGCCAUCACAGUCCCCAUCGUGAUGCAAGCUUAUAUGAUUCUUGAGGUAACUCUACCAGAUACUUCCAGAUUUAGAAAUGUGUCAAAGGAAAAAUUGGUGAUACUCUUCUUUCCCCUGCCAGAAACAGCCCAGAUCUCCUCUUAAGCGGAAAAGAGAUUGACCUUCUAGCAGAGGCAAAGCCUUCUACUCCUACCUCAGCAUCUUGCCGCCUUCAUGUGGACAAUUAAUCAACAGCAACAGCAUAGUGUGAAGUAGAGAUAGAGUCUUGAUAUGUUCCCCAGGCUGCUCUGGAAUUCUUGGACUCAAGCAAUCCUCCUGACUUGGCCUCCCAAAGUGCUGGGAUUACAGGCUCCUAUUCCAAAUCGGAUGAAGCACUGAAAACAAAGCACUUUCACAUCCUUCACCCUGAUCUGUAGCAUAUUCUUCAGAACUCUUAUGAUUUCAAGUGACAGAAACCCAAUCUGAACCAGCUGAAACACUCAGAGGCAUUUAGUAUCUCAUGGAACCCAGUGCCCCAGGGACAGGCGGAAACGCUGACUUGAACAUCUCUUUCUGAGUUUCUCAUCUCAGCGCCUCUCUGCAGAUGUUGAAAUCUUCUUUUUUUCUGCUAACUGGCCUCUGCUUCCCAGGUUCACAGCAAGAAACAUGGCCAUUGGGAUGUCCCAAGCUUUGCAUUUUAUAGCCCAGCUUAGGUCAGGUGGCCACCCCUGUGCCAGUCAACUUGACCGAAUGGAUGGAAAACCUCAACUGAUCAAGCUGGAGUUAAGUGCAUGCAGGGAGCACCUAUGGUAACUGCGGAUGGCAGGGAGGGCAGCCACCUAGAAAAAGGUACUGCUGGCCAGGUAAGACCACAGGUAUCCACAACUACCACCAAUCUGCUGUGAACAGUUCCUCUGAAGUUGUGCAAUAAGCAAGCCGUGUGAUGCUGGUCUUGGUAGAAUAUCUUAUUUCUAAACUCCAAACCAUCAGAUUGGCCUCUACCUCCCCAUUUGCCCUCCUCAGAAGAUCUUGACACCCAAGUUCACCCCAUCCUCUGGAGUCCUGUGGUUUGAAAUACUGACCAUUUGUCCCAAUCCUGGAGCCAAGGUCCCAGCAUGCUCUGUGUCCAAGUUCAGAUUACCACAAAAGCUGGUUGUGAAGACCACAAGUUGUUACCUAUUUGUUUUUUAACCAGUUGUAUAUACAACAUUUGGUGCUUUUCACAACACCACACUACCUCUGUCUUACUGUACUGUUUCUCUCCCUAGCAAGCUACCAACAUUUCCUCUCUCCUCCCUAAAACAUGAAAAAAGGAGAGAGAGAGAGAGAGAGAGACGCAGGUAAUGCCUAUACUCUCAUCUCCUAAGGGGUCCUUGAGACAAUGGAUUCCAAAGAGCAGUUUGGAACAUGAAGAAAACCCCAAUGGGGAGGCCCUGCUCCCAAGUCUCACUAAUUCUGGAUUUAAUUCUCCCCUGUGGGCCAGGUGGUGAAUUAGUGGCCCUCCCACCCUACCUUCUGUUUUCUAUGAUCUCGUCUCAUCUAAUAAAGGCUCCAGAUCUGAAAGUCUCUGAGACCAGAACCUUAGUCCAAUUAAACCCUGCUAAAGCAAACAAACUUGGGAAAGACAAAGAGGUGAAGAGGUUAACAGCAGACAAAACCUCCACUGACAAGCUAAAUUAGCCUUGCCCACCUCAGGAGAAGGUGUAAGGUGGACAGCGGAGACUGCUGGUAGUGAUUAACAUUUGCUCGAAAUUCUAAGGAGCUAAUUUUUUUUCCAAGUUAAAUGUUAACCUGUGAAAAGAGGAACAGUAACUAUGCGAAGAGGAAUGUGAAGAAGAAAACAGAAAGACCAGCCUGCUGGGUGGAUGUCUUCCUCCCAAAGUAGUCGAGACCAGGGAUUCUGAGGAAUAGUUUUCCAUUUAUCCUUCAUCAUCUCCAUUCAACAGGGCCGCUGAGCUCCAGAUGAGCAUGGAAAGAUGGAGGAGCUGCCAAACCUGACUUUGGAGGCCCUGGUCAGGAGCCCGUUGGAGGCCUUCCAGUUUUACACCCUUUGUGAAUUUGUCCGUGGGGUGGGUUUGUUCUGAUGCCAUGAGUAGCUUCCACUGGAAAAGGCACCAUCUCCACCCAACAUUUUAGGUAUGCUGGUGCAUUGGGAGGACAUUCUUGGUGCCAAUAAUCGUCUGAAGAUUCUUUGCUAUCCUUUGGUAGAGGCUCUAUUUACCACAAUGAAGAGUAGAAAGAUUAUGAUGUGAGUGUGUUUUGGUGUGUGUGUGUGUGUGUGUGUAUGUGUGUGACUAUUAGUGAAAACUGCUAGUAGUAUGUCAGUGUGGAGAGAAAUUCAGUCCUCCCGCAAGUGGUGAGGCUCAAUAUUAAGGGACAGAACAUCAGUGAGCACCACAUUAAGGCACUAUUCUCGACAUCUGGGAAGAAGCAAAGAAAAAUGUGUCAUGCCUCUUACCUUUUAGGGACUUAUAAUACAGGAAAGAGAAGACUUGUAUAAAUGGCUAAAAAUAUACUGAGGAGUAUAACUAAUAACUAAUGCAGAGUGUGCUGGUAAAAGGUUGUGUGGGUUCAGGAAUGUCAAAAGUUGCAGCUGCUGUGAAAGCCAAUAUGGCGGGUCCUCAAAAAAUUAAAUGUAGAAUUACCAUAUGACUCGGCAACUCCACUUCCGGGUAUGUUCUUAAAACGAUUGAAAGCAGAGACUCAGACAGAUAAUUGCACACCCAUGUUCACAGCAGCAUUAUUCACAAUCGCCAAAAUGUGGAAGCAACCCAAGUGUCCACUGGCCAAUGAAUGAAUGAGUAAAACAUGCUAUGUAUCAACAGUAGAAUAUUAUUCAACCUUAAAAGGAAACAAAUUCUGGUACGUGUUACAACAUAGAUGAACCUUGAGUGGAAGAAGAAAACAGAAAGAGCAGUCCGCUGGGUGGAUGUCUUCUUCCCAAAGUAGUUGGGAUCAGGAAUGCUGAGAAACAAUUCCCCAUUCAUCCUUCAACAUCUCCAUUCAACAGGGCCACUGAGCUCCAGGAUGAGCAUGGAAGGAUGGAGGAGCUGCCAAGCUUGACCUUGGGGACCCAGGUCAGGAGCCUUCUGGAGACCUUCCAGUUUUAUGCCCUUCGUGAAUUUGUUUGUGGGAUGAACUCUAUGAAGUGAACUAAACCAAUCACACACAAAAAAUAAAACUGUAUGAUUCCACUUAUAUGAGGCACCUAGUCAAAUUCAGAGACAGAAAUAAAAAUGGGGGUUGAUAGGAGAGGGGAGGAUGGAAGAGUGGGAAGUUACUGUCAAUGGGAACAGAGUUUCAGUUUUGCAAAAGAGUUCUGGAAAUGAAUGGGGUAAUGACUGCACAACACUGUGAAGGUACUUAAUGCCCCUGAA